GUUUAAUCUUAAGCCUUUAAGCAACUUCUUACUACUCUGGAGAACCCUUUCCAGGUGUGCAGUUAGUUUCUGGUCUUCUAGAGCUCUUGGCCUUUGCUGGAAGAAAAGGUUUAUUUGCCCGUGUAUAACCCAUAUAUGACACACGCAGAUGGCAACAGAGUGAAUAUAUGAAGAGUGAUAAAAGUGAUCAGGCUUCUGGAGCAG